rnacentral:rRNA from 1 species
ACUCAAAGGAAUUGACGGGGGCCCGCACAAGCGGUGGAGUAUGUGGUUUAAUUCGACGCAACGCGAAGAACCUUACCAACCUUUGACAUGUCCAGUAUGGAUCUAAGAGAUUAGAUUCUUCAGUUCGGCUGGCUGGAACACAGGUGCUGCAUGGCUGUCGUCAGCUCGUGUCGUGAGAUGUUGGGUUAAGUCCCGCAACGAGCGCAACCCUCAUCUUUAGUUGCCACCAGGUAAGGCUGGGCACUCUAAAGAAACCGCCGGUGAUAAGCCGGAGGAAGGCGGGGAUGACGUCAAGUCCUCAUGGCCCUUACAGGUUGGGCUACACACGUACUACAAUGGUGGUGACAGUGGGUUGCGAAGUCGCGAGACGGAGCCAAUCCCCAAAAGCCAUCUCAGUUCAGAUUGCACUCUGCAACUCGAGUGCAUGAAGUUGGAAUCGCUAGUAAUCGCAGAUCAGCACGCUGCGGUGAAUACGUUCCCGGGCCUUGCACACACCGCCCGU